GGCCCUCAAAACAAGCAGCGUAUCUGGAACUCCGCCGUUCUCCUGGAUGGGGAGGGAAAGAAGGAGGAAGGCUGAACUGGCCACAGGGGUCCAGUCUCUUGGUUCUCCACCAGCUGCCAGGUCACAGAGGCAGGAACAAAUUCUUCUGGUUCAUUGGCUUCAACAAUGAUCACUUGGCUGCCUGGAGGGAUCAUUUCAGAAUUCUUUGCAACAGUAAUGGCUGUUUGAAGGUUGUCACCUAGAAGACAAAGAAACUUUGCUUUCUAUACGAAGGAGGUGUUGUAGUAUUGAGCACUGAAAUAAAACAUGUCUAAAGGAUUCUGAAAAUCUUCCAAAGCGCCAACUGUCUCCCUCUCUCAACCCCUCUGUGUAUGGGACGCCCAAGUCAAUUGGUCACAUAAUGCUCUGAGGUUGAAGGAGCGUUGGUGGUUUUGAUGGGAUUGGCGCUGAGACUAAAGUUGGCAUAACAUAGUGCCAAACAGAGAUAACACACUGGUAUCUUGGAGUCAGAAGCUCUCAAGUACCAUCCUUGUUCUGCCACCAACCAGCAUUGUGACCUGAGCAAGUCGUCUCCAGUAUCACCUACAAUUGUCCAUCUCUGAAUCAGGGGACUGUACAAGAUUAAUUCUCUGUCUCCCAGAGACUUCAAGGUGGUGAGAACUGUCCAUCUGUUCAUCUCCAGGACUCACACUUCAC